rnacentral:rRNA from 1 species
AUUAGAGUUUGAUCAUGGCUCAGAUUGAACGCUGGCGGCAUGCCUUACACAUGCAAGUCGAACGGUAACGCGGGGCAACCUGGCGACGAGUGGCGAACGGGUGAGUAAAGCAUCGGAACGUGCCCAGUAGUGGGGGAUAGCCCGGCGAAAGCCGGAUUAAUACCGCAUACGACCUACGGGUGAAAGGGGGGGAUCGCAAGACCUCUCGCUAUUGGAGCGGCCGAUGUCAGAUUAGCUAGUUGGUGGGGUAAAGGCCUACCAAGGCGACGAUCUGUAGCUGGUCUGAGAGGACGACCAGCCACACUGGGACUGAGACACGGCCCAGACUCCUACGGGAGGCAGCAGUGGGGAAUUUUGGACAAUGGACGCAAGUCUGAUCCAGCCAUGCCGCGUGCGGGAAGAAGGCCUUCGGGUUGUAAACCGCUUUUGUCAGGGAAGAAAUCUUCUGGGUUAAUACCUCGGGAGGAUGACGGUACCUGAAGAAUAAGCACCGGCUAACUACGUGCCAGCAGCCGCGGUAAUACGUAGGGUGCAAGCGUUAAUCGGAAUUACUGGGCGUAAAGCGUGCGCAGGCGGUUAUGUAAGACAGAUGUGAAAUCCCCGGGCUCAACCUGGGAACUGCAUUUGUGACUGCAUAGCUUGAGUGCGGCAGA